GGAGCGAAGCUUGCUUUGCUCCGCCGGCGACCGGCGCACGGGUGAGUAACACGUAUGCAACCUGCCCGUCACAGGGGGAUAACCCGGAGAAAUCCGGACUAAUACCGCGUGAUACCCCGAGGGGACAUCCCCUUGGGGUCAAAGGAAGCAAUUCCGGUGACGGAUGGGCAUGCGGCGCAUUAGCUAGUUGGCGGGGUAACGGCCCACCAAGGCGACGAUGCGUAGGGGUUCUGAGAGGAAGGUCCCCCACACUGGUACUGAGACACGGACCAGACUCCUACGGGAGGUAGCAGUGAGGAAUAUUGGUCAAUGGGCGCGAGCCUGAACCAGCCAAGUCGCGUGAGGGAAGACGGUCCUAUGGAUUGUAAACCUCUUUUGUCGGGGAGCAAUGAUCUUCACGUGUGGAGACUGUGAGAGUACCCGAAGAAAAAGCAUCGGCUAACUCCGUGCCAGCAGCCGCGGUAAUACGGAGGAUGCGAGCGUUAUCCGGAUUUAUUGGGUUUAAAGGGUGCGUAGGCGGGCUGAUAAGUCAGCGGUUAAAAUGCGGUGCUCAACGCCGUAGUGCCGUUGAAACUGUCGGUCUUGAGUGAGCGAG
rnacentral:rRNA from 1 species